rnacentral:lncRNA from 1 species
CUAAGACUACCCAGAGGAUCCCUGAGGAAAGGGACCUAAACUCUCCACCUGAACUGCCCCACCUACUUGUGCCCAGCAUUUCAGAGGAGAACACCUUGGGAGCUCCCUUGCGGAAACUACUGCUAAAAACCUAUGAUGUUGUGAACAAAACCCAGCCCCAGGUGACAGAGUCCUGUUGGAUGUGUUAUGAUAUGCAACUCCCCCUUUAUGAGGGGAUAGCUCUCCCAGGAAGUUAUACACUGACUAGCAAAGUACAGGACUGCCGUUGGGAACCAGUGGAAUCUGGACUUAGCUUAAAGAAGGUUAUUGGAAAAGGCAGCUAUGUGGGAAACCCACCACCCUCUCUUGCAGCAUUUAUGCAAUCAGACUUCCCAAAUGACUUAUCUAUUACCAUCAGAAAACAGUUGGUGGGCAUGUGACACAGGCCUUCCCCCCUGUGCUCACACGGCUGUGCUCAACCAUACCAAUGGAUUUUGUGUUAUGGUUCAACUUAUACCCAGAUUAAUUUACCACUCUGAAGAAGAAGUGAUACUCAGAUUAGAAAGUAAGGAAUUACAAAGGAAGGUAAAUAGAGAAGUAGCUGUAGCCAUAUUAACCGUAGGAACCCUGUUAGGAGCAGUAGGAGUGGAAACUGGAACAACGGCCCUGAUUGAACAGCGCUCCUAUUUUUCCAGUCUGAGGGAAGCCAUAGAUGAGGACAUCCAAGAGCUACAGAGACAGGUGAAACAUUUGGAGGAAUCACAUGCAUCCCUUGCAGAAGUUAUGCUUCAAAAUUGAAGGGGCUUAGAUUUAGUCUUUUUACAACAAGGAGGACUUUGUGCAGC